rnacentral:lncRNA from 1 species
UGUUCCAUAGGUGCUACUCCUCGUAGGGUCGCCAUAUAAUAUUUCUUCGUGAGCUACUGAUUUCUUCGGAGCUCGCCGACCCCUUCUGGAGUAUGAAAUUUCACCAUCAGGUGAUAAAUCGACACUAGCUUUAAGUACGUUAAGUCUAGACUGGCCUAAUAUAACGUUGUACACGGACGGACUUUUUACGAUGAAGUAGUUUAUUUGUGCAACCACUUGUUUUGGAGCUCGUCCGACUAUGGUAAUCAACCGGAUGGUUCCUUCCACUGGGACCAUAGUAUCCGAGAAUUUGAUUAGAGGAGUAAUCCUUUUCAUCAGCAGUUCAAAAUUCAAGUUUAUACCAACAAAAGCAUCAUAAAACAAGAUAUCAACUGAACUUCCAUUAUCAACUAGGAUCUGAUGUAUAUCAUAAUUAGCAAUAUUUAAAGAAAUAAUGAUAGGGUCAUCAUGGGGACCUUUUAUUCCAUCUAGAUCAGCUUCCAAGAAAGUGACCUCAUCGUCGAUCUUUAGUUUCUUUGCCUCCUUAUCUUAAACUCGGCUAGGACUUGGGGUGCAUCGACCAAGCUGUCCCUCAGAGAUCAUAUAAAUUCCCCCCGCAAUUGGUUGGUCUUUGCGGGGGUUUUCUUGCCGAGGAGGUUCGUCAUGCGGGUUUUUUGGAAUCUGACGUUUGUCGACAUAUUGACGAAGGCGUCCACAUCGGAUUAAUGCCUCAAUCUUCUUCCUAAGCUGCCAGCAUUCUUUAGUGUCAUGUCCGUGAUCACGAUGAUAUUUGCAGUACUUCCUCGGAUCUCUUUUAGGUGCUGGGGUGACCAUCUUCCUUGGAGGAGGUAGGUCUUCUUGCCACCCUAUUUCCAUUAGAAUCUGAGAUCGAGGGGCAUUCAGCGGAGUGAAAUAAUAAAAUCUUUGGGGAGGAGACUUUGAUCGACGAGGUGGUACAAGAGAUCUAGGUCGGUUGUUUCUAGAUGGGAUCCGAGAACAAUGAGGUUUAGGUUCAAGACGUUGAUGCUGCACCCGUCGAGAGUCUUUUUUUUUCUCUUGUCUGGAGCUUUGAUGAGAUACCCAGUCAAGAUUCUCUCCUUGUUGGUCUCAAGCUUCAUCAGCCUGAGCAUAAUUCUCUGCCCGUUCCAAUAUUUCAGAAAAACCUUUUGAAUAAUUCAAAUUGAGAGAGUAAAAGAGAUCAUUCUGCUGGAGCCCAGCUUUGAACGUAGUCAUCGUCACGGACUGAUUUAGAUUUUGCACCUCUAGGAUAAUAACGUUAAAUCGACUAAUGUAAUCUCUAAGAGAUUCAUUCUCCUUCUACUUAAUGCUGACUAGAAAAUCUGAAUUAUGUCACUGUUAGCGACUGCUGACAAAGUGUGUAACAAAGAGUCGGCUCAACUAGUGAAAUGAAUCUACAGAGCCAGCUGUAGGUUAGAGUACUAGGGACGAGCUGCUUUCUUCAAAGUAGAAGGAAAAGUUCAGCAAAAAGUUGCGUUGUUGGCCCUUUGCAACAGUAUCAAAGUAUGAAAGUUCUCCAAAUAAUUCAUCGGAUCAGUUGUUCCAUUAUAAGGUUCCAUUUGAGACAUUUUAAAUCAAGGUGGAAAUAGUUCAUCUAUCAACCUCUAAGUGAAAGGC